CUGCAGUAGUACGACAUCCAGUAGCUUACGUAUUAUACAACGUCAAUAUAGUACGUGGCAACUAAUGAGCUAGCUCCCCGAGGAAGUUCCGAAGUCAGUGACCAGAUCCACCGAUCGACUAAAUUACUAGUAGAAGUACGUAUGCUUCUUUAAUAUUAUGAAAUCCCUAGAGACGAACACAAAAAGGAGAUGAGUUGGAGGAACGCAACGGUUGCAAUUGACAUCAUCGAGCACAAAACUUUAUCUUGAGUUGAGACAUGCAAUCGAUGUCAAGAAGCAGUAUAGGCCUAUUAGAACUUAUAAGUUGAAACACAUCCCAAAAGCAUGUACAAAUUGAAGCAAACAAGCAAAGUACGCAAUUUCAUUUUUCAAGGCCAGUAGACAUGUACUUGCUCGCAUGGUUCGAUGCUCAAAAGCAACCGUGGCUUUGCUCAUCGAUCUUCAGUAUAGCUUGCAAGACAUGCUUUCGAACUAACCAAAACAAAUAUAGCCACACACACGCACACUUGUAAGCUGUGGUUGCCAGCAGGCUUGACUGCUUGAGCUCAAGUUUCCGAUCCUACCUGUUGUGAAGAGCAUCGGGGCAGCUCGGAAUCCGCCGCUUGUCGUCGCCGAACCGGGCGGCAACGGAAGGCGACGAAAAGCCUCCGGCGCCGCCGCCUGCAGGUAUUGGCCUAGAGCCCAGGACGUGUGACCCUGCGACGGCGACGCUUGGACGGCGGGGCACCGGAACCGCAGCUGCUAGAAGAUUAACGCUGCCAUGGAGGCAUACCCAGAAAAGGCACAUGAUGAUGACAGCUACAGAGUUCCUUCUCGGCCUCCUAUUCGCCGCCGCUCGCAUUGCAUCGACGUCCGUGAUAUCUUCCCGUGCAGCUGCAGGCUGCAGCUAGCUGCAGGAAGAGAGAGAGAGAGAGACACACACAGGAGGACGAGAAGGAAAGGAAGGAUCGAGGAGGAAGAGGAAGAGGGCUCGUUACUCGUUAGCACGCCGCAGCACAGGUGAAGCCGUGAGGGUGGGUGAGCCAUCUGUUUCUCCGCACCGAAACAAAACAAUGCGCGUGAGCAGCGGGAAUCAAGGAGUAUUGCCUGAAACGUUCCACACGAAAAACUUUGCGCGGCAUGUUAUACUAGUACAAGCCAAUAGUAGUAUGAAAAUAUUAGGAAAAUGACUCGGUGUGUUACUGGUACUCGAAGAAGCGUUCAGAGUUUUCUUGGCGAGUCAAAAGCAUUUUAAGUUUGACAAUGCUGAU
rnacentral:lncRNA from 1 species